GACGAACGCUGGCGGCGUGCUUAACACAUGCAAGUCGAACGGUAAGGCCCUUCGGGGUACACGAGUGGCGAACGGGUGAGUAACACGUGGGUGAUCUGCCCUGCACUUCGGGAUAGGCCUGGGAAACUGGGUCUAAUACCGGAUAGGACCACUGCCUGCAUGGGUGGUGGUGGAAAGCUUUUGCGGUGUGGGAUGGGCCCGCGGCCUAUCAGCUUGUUGGUGGGGUGAUGGCCUACCAAGGCGACGACGGGUAGCCGGCCUGAGAGGGUGACCGGCCACACUGGGACUGAGAUACGGCCCAGACUCCUACGGGAGGCAGCAGUGGGGAAUAUUGCGCAAUGGGCGAAAGCCUGACGCAGCAACGCCGCGUGCGGGAUGAAGGCCUUCGGGUUGUAAACCGCUUUCAGCAGGGAAGAAGCGAAAGUGACGGUACCUGCAGAAGAAGCACCGGCUAACUACGUGCCAGCCGCCGCCGUAA
rnacentral:rRNA from 1 species